GCGCUGGUAGUUUAGUGGUAAAAUAGACGCCUUCCACCCGUAGGGAGAUAGCAUCAGCCCCGGGUUCAAUUCCCGGUCAGCGCA